rnacentral:rRNA from 1 species
UACGUAGGGAGCAAGCGUUGUUCGGAUUUACUGGGCGUAAAGGGCGCGUAGGCGGCGCGGUAAGUCACCUGUGAAAUCUCUGAGCUUAACUCAGAACGGCCAAGUGAUACUGCAGUGCUAGAGUGUAGAAGGGGCAAUCGGAAUUCUUGGUGUAGCGGUGAAAUGCGUAGAUAUCAAGAGGGACACCUGAGGUGAAGACGGGUUGCUGGUCUAACACUGACGCUGAGGCGCGAAAGCCAGGGGAGCAAACGGG